AGAUAUGUUUGAUAUUCUUGGUUGUGCCACGAACCAACCAGGAGUCAGACAUAUGCUC
rnacentral:pre_miRNA from 1 species